GAUGAACGCUGGCGGCGUGCCUAAUACAUGCAAGUCGAGCGAACAGAUGAGGAGCUUGCUCCUCUGACGUUAGCGGCGGACGGGUGAGUAACACGUGGAUAACCUACCUAUAAGACUGGGAUAACUUCGGGAAACCGGAGCUAAUACCGGAUAAUAUAUUGAACCGCAUGGUUCAAUAGUGAAAGACGGUUUUGCUGUCACUUAUAGAUGGAUCCGCGCCGCAUUAGCUAGUUGGUAAGGUAACGGCUUACCAAGGCAACGAUGCGUAGCCGACCUGAGAGGGUGAUCGGCCACACUGGAACUGAGACACGGUCCAGACUCCUACGGGAGGCAGCAGUAGGGAAUCUUCCGCAAUGGGCGAAAGCCUGACGGAGCAACGACGCGUGAGUGAUGAAGGUCUUAGGAUCGUAAAACUCUGUUAUUAGGGAAGAACAAAUGUGUAAGUAACUAUGCACGUCUUGACGGUAACUAAUCAGAAAGCCACGGCUAACUACGUG
rnacentral:rRNA from 1 species